rnacentral:rRNA from 1 species
UGGGGAAUAUUGCACAAUGGGCGCAAGCCUGAUGCAGCGACGCCGCGUGGGGGAUGACGGCCUUCGGGUUGUAAACUCCUUUCGCUAGGGACGAAGCUUUUUGUGACGGUACCUAGAUAAGAAGCACCGGCUAACUACGUGCCAGCAGCCGCGGUAAUACGUAGGGUUCGAGCGUUGUCCGGAAUUACUGGGCGUAAAGGGCUCGUAGGUGGUUUGUCGCGUCGUCUGUGAAAUUCCGGGGCUUAACUCCGGGCGUGCAGGCGAUACGGGCAUAACUUGAGUACUGUAGGGGUAACUGGAAUUCCUGGUGUAGCGGUGAAAUGCGCAGAUAUCAGGAGGAACACCGAUGGCGAAGGCAGGUUACUGGGCAGUUACUGACGCUGAGGAGCGAAAGCAUGGGUAGCGAACAGG